UACGGAGGGUGCAAGCGUUAUCCGGAUUCACUGGGUUUAAAGGGUGUGUAGGCGGGCUGUUAAGUCAGUGGUGAAAUCUCCGGGUUCAACCCGGAAACUGCCAUUGAUACUAUCAGUCUUGAAUCUUGUUGAGGUAGGCGGAAUAUAUCAUGUAGCGGUGAAAUGCUUAGAUAUGAUAUAGAACACCGAUUGCGAAGGCAGCUUACUAAACAAGCAUUGACGCUGAGGCACGAAAGCGUGGGGAUCAAACAGG
rnacentral:rRNA from 1 species